CCUACGGGAGGCAGCAGUGAGGAAUAUUGGUCAAUGGACGAGAGUCUGAACCAGCCAAGUAGCGUGAAGGAUGACUGCCCUAUGGGUUGUAAACUUCUUUUAUAUGGGAAUAAAAUGUUCCACGUGUGGGAUUUUGUAUGUACCAUAUGAAUAGGAUUCGUUAAACUCGUUCCAGCAGCCGCGGUAAUACGGGGGAUCCGUGCGUUAGCCGGGUUUAUUGGGUUUUAAGGGAGCGUAGGUGGAUUGUUAAGUCAGUUGUGAAAGUUUGCGGCUCAACCGUAAAAUUGCAGUUGAAACUGGCAGUCUUGAGUACAGUAGAGGUGGGCGGAAUUCGUGAUGUAGCGGUGAAAUGCUUAGAUAUCACGAAGAACUCCGAUUGCGAAGGCAGCUCACUGGACUGCAACUGACACUGAGGCUCGAAAGUGUGGGUAUCAAACAGGAUUAGAUACCCUUGUAGUC
rnacentral:rRNA from 1 species